CCUAGACCUUUCCCUAAGCAUUUAGUAAUCUAUGUAUAUGAAUGUGUAUCUGUAUGAGAUACUUUUCUGUUCACAUAUAAGUGUUUUUUAUUUAUAUAAAUGGAGUAAUCUAAGCCUGUUUUCCUGAAGUUUGUAUUUUUUGCUUGAAAACACAAAAAUACAUAUACUAACAUAUUUCAUCUUAUUGCCUAUACAUUUAUCUGAUUCUUGUUAAUGGCUAGUAUAGUGUUCUACUUUGAAUAUUCUAUAAUUUGUUUUAUUUUAUUUUAUUUUGAGACAGUCUUGGGAGUGCAGUGGCACGAUCUCGGUUCAUUGCAACCUCCACCUCCCGGGUUCAAGUGAUUCUCAUGUCUCAGCCUCCCAAGUAGCUGGGACUAUAGGCACCCACCACCACGCCUGGCUGAUGUUUGUAUUUUUAGUAGAGAUGGGAUUUCGUCAUGUUGGCCAGGCUGGUCUUGAACUCCGUACCUCAGGUGAUCCACCUGGUUUGGCCUCCCAAAGUGCUGGGAUUACAGGUGUGAGCCACCGUGCCUGGCCAGUUCUAUAAUUUUCAAAACUAACUCCCUAUGCAGACAUUUAGGUUAUUUAUCAUUUUCUUUCUGAGAAACAGUAUGUUUGUAAAGAUUGCCUCAUGUUUAGAAAGAUGAUACAAUUCCUGCCAGAAUUCCAGAAAGCAUUAAGCAGCAUUCUUAAGAUUGGGUAAAAGAGUCUUGUACAUUUUUCUUUGCCUAAUUAGAUUCGUCUCUUGGUAUGAUAUUUCUAUGUACUAUGCAGUUUCUACUUUUUUCUUUUAUUAGAAUUUAUUUUUUUCAACUCUACUAUUGUGCUUAGAAAGAGAAAUGAUUUUUCUUCUUUCAUUUUUUUCCUUGGGAUACAAAAACUUUGUUGUUGCUGUUGUUGUUGUUGUUUUAAAGUACAAUUAUUUUCCUUAUUCAAUUUCUAAUCUGUUUACUCUGUACCUGCAAUACCUAUCAAGGUUUAUUUAAAAAUAAAUUAAGAAUAAGUUAAAAUCAAUGAUGAGGGAAAACGAUAUAUACAUAUAUAUUGUAUACAUAUAUAUGUCAAAAUUAGUUUUGUUUCGGUUUCCUUCAGUUAACCAUAGUUAUUUUCUUUUUGAAGCUCAGAUUGUCAUAGAUUGGCUAAUGGCAUUGUCUUUGAGCUGAUUCCUUUGUCCUUUUGACACUAACUCUGGCAGUCUGAAAAGUAUUCUUACUUUCUGGCAGUGCUAGAAAAUACCAGAAUGGUCUUUAUUGUUUUUUUGCCCCAAGACAUGGAGUCAUCUCCCAUCUAGGUUCCUGGUUCCUUUAGUGGAAAGUAAUAUUAGAAACCAAAAUCUGGGCUGGGCGCAGUGGCUCAUGCCUGUAAUCCCAGCACUUUNNNNNNNNNNGCUCAUGCCUGUAAUCCCAGCACUUUUUGGGAGGCCAGGAUGGGAGGAUUGCUUGAGGCCAGAAGUUCAAGACAGGCUGCCCAACAUAGGGGGUCUCACCCUUCUCUACCAAAAUUUUAAAAAUGAGCAUGCAUCUGUAGUCCUAGCUAUUGGGAAGGCUGAGGCAGGAGGAUCAUUUGAGCCCAGGAGUUUGAGGCUGCAGUGAGCUAAGAAGGUGCCACUGCACUGCUGUUGUCUCUCAGCAGAUCAUUUUCAGCUUUCUUUGGAGAGUAGCCAUUAGCAAUGCAAAUGUGAAGUUGGAUAGUACAAUAAAUAAAACACUGAAAACUGUAGAUGUUACUUAUAAAACACUGGCACUCAGAUAAAUUGGGUUUGGUCAAGAAGACAGUGAAGCAUAUCCCUGUUGGGCCAGAGGCUGUUAUCGUUUUGCUCUGAAUUCAAAACCUGAUAUGUCUCCAAAUUUGCUUAGGGUUGUUAUCCUGGAAAAUAGAAUCUGAUAGAAGGUGGGCACCGGUACCAAGUGCAAGGUGGAGGUGAUCAUGGUUAGGGCAAUUGCAUACAGGUCAUGACUGCAUUGGAGUCUCAGGAAAGACUGGUUUAGUGAUUUGGCAAAUCCAAGGCAUGAGUUUUGGGUGGUUUUGUUGUUUUGUCUUAUUUUUCCACCCCUUAAGAGUCUUAGGGGAAAACAGCAUCAUUGAAUAGACUAGCUAAAAAUUCAGCACUUAAUCCCCUUCACAGCAUAUUAGCCUCUGCAGAGCUUUGCUAUUUUGGAACCAGUGGUGUGAAUUAUUCUCUGUUAAUAAGAAUCUGGCUUUCUUUUCCUGUUGGAAAAGAGGCUUGUGUGCAUGUUACUCUGACUCAGUAGUUCUCAAACUUUUUGUUCUCAGGACCUC
rnacentral:lncRNA from 1 species